rnacentral:rRNA from 1 species
UGCCAGCCGCCGCGGUAAUACGGAAGGUGCAAGCGUUGUUCGGAAUUACUGGGCGUAAAGCGCGCGUAGGCGGGUUUGUGUGUCGAUUGUGAAAGCCCUGGGCUCAACCUAGGAACUGCAGUCGAAACUGCAAAUCUUGAAUGCUUGAGGGGGUGGGGAAUUCCUGGUGGAGAAGUGAAAUUCGUAGAUAUCAGGAGGAACACCGGAGGUGAAGACGCCUGCCUGGCAUUGCAUUGACGCUGAGGUGCGAAAGCGUGGGGAGCAAACAGGAUUAGAUA